rnacentral:rRNA from 1 species
AUUGAACGCUGGCGGCAGGCCUAACACAUGCAAGUCGAGCGGAUGAAGGGAGCUUGCUCCUGGAUCCAGCGGCGGACGGGUGAGUAAUGCCUAGGAAUCUGCCUGGUAGUGGGGGAUAACGUCCAGAAACGGGCGCUAAUACCGCAUACGUCCUGAGGGAGAAAGUGGGGGAUCUUCGGACCUCACGCUAUCAGAUGAGCCUAGGUCGGAUUAGCUAGUUGGUGGGGUAAAGGCCUACCAAGGCGACGAUCCGUAACUGGUCUGAGAGGAUGAUCAGUCACACGGGAACUGAGACACGGUCAAGACUCCUAAGGGAGGCAGCAGUGGGGAAUAUUGGACAAUGGGCGAAAGCCUGAUCCAGCCAUGCCGCGUGUGUGAAGAAGGUCUUCGGAUUGUAAAGCACUUUAAGUUGGGAGGAAGGGCAGUAAGUUAAUACCUUGCUGGUUUGACGUUACCAACAGAAGAAGCACCGGCUAACUUCGUG